UACGGAGGGUGCAAACGUUGCUCGGAAUCAUUGGGCGUAAAGCGCACGUAGGCGGCGCGUUAAGUCGGGUGUGAAAGCCCUGGGCUCAACCCAGGAAGUGCAUUCGAAACUGGCGCGCUUGAAUAUGGAAGAGGGUCGCGGAAUUCCCGGUGUAGAGGUGAAAUUCGUAGAUAUCGGGAGGAACACCAGUGGCGAAGGCGGCGACCUGGGCCAAUAUUGACGCUGAUGAGCGAAAGCG
rnacentral:rRNA from 1 species